GGCGGCCUUCGGUGCGCCGCCGCCGGCGUUCGGACCGCCGGGCGCGCCGUCCGUCGGCGGGCCGCCC
rnacentral:tRNA from 1 species